ensembl:misc_RNA Metazoa_SRP Metazoan signal recognition particle RNA
GCUGGGUGUGGGGGCGCAUGCCUGUAGUCCCAGCUACUAGGGAGGCUGAGGUGGGGGAAUUGCUUGAGCCCAGGAAUCGGAGGCCGCAGUGAGCUAUGUUGGCUUCACUGCACUCCAGCUUGGGUGAAAAAGCGAGACCCCGUCUCAA